CAGCAGCCACGGGAAUACGAAGGGUGCAGGCGUUACUCGGAAUUACUGGGCGUAAAGCGUGCGUAGGUGGUGGUUUAAGUCCGUUGUGGAAGCCCUGGGCUCAACCUGGGAAUUGCAGUGGAUACUGGAUCACUAGAGUGUGGUAGAGGAUAGUGGAAUUUCCGGUGUAGCAGUGAAAUGCGUAGAGAUCGGAAGGAACAUCUGUGGCGAAGGCGACUAUCUGGGCCAACACUGACACUGAGGCACGAAAGCGUGGGGAGCAAACAGGAUUAGAUACCCCCGUAGUCCCUGUCUCUUAUAC
rnacentral:rRNA from 1 species